ACGUAGCGGCAGGCUUAUAAAUGCAAGUCGAGGGGCAGCGGGGGUAGCAAUACUCGCCGGCGACCGGCAAACGGGUGCGGAACACGUACGCAACCUUCCCAAAACUGGUGAAUAGCCCUCCGAAAGGAGGAUUAAUACACCGUAAGAUAAUUUGAUGGCAUCAUUAGAUUAUUAUAGCUCCGGCGGUUUUGGAUGGGCGUGCGCCUGAUUAGGUAGUUGGUAGGGUAACGGCCUACCAAGCCAACGAUCAGUAACUGGUGUGAGAGCACGACCAGUCACACGGGCACUGAGACACGGGCCCGACUCCUACGGGAGGCAGCAGUAAGGAAUAUUGGUCAAUGGACGCAAGUCUGAACCAGCCAUGCCGCGUGCAGGAUGAAGGCCCUCUGGGUUGUAAACUGCUUUUAUGGGGGACGAAAAAAGGGGAUUCUUCCUCACUUGACGGUACCCUAGGAAUAAGCACCGGCUAACUCCGUGCCAGCAGCCGCGGUAAUACGGAGGGUGCAAGCGUUAUCCGGAUUUACUGGGUUUAAAGGGUGCGUAGGUGGGUAGGUAAGUCAGUGGUGAAAUCUUCGAGCUUAACUCGGAAACUGCAUUGAUACUAUUUAUCUUGAAUACUUUGGAGGUAAGCGGAAUAUGUCAUGGUAGCGGGUGGAAAUGCUUUAGAUAUUGACAUUAGGAACACCAA
rnacentral:rRNA from 1 species